GGGGUGUCGUGGUUUGACACGGAAAGAUAAUUUUUUCCGGAAGGAAGAGGUCAAUUUAGAUAUUGACCAAUUGAAAGUAGACACGCCUCUGAGAACACAGAGGGGUUGAAAGCAGAAUUCCCAGGGGAACUCGCUCUCUUUGGUUCCGGUCAGCGUGCAGUGCAAACCUCCCCUGCCCAGCCACGAGCUGGGUGGGGAGGGGAAGCCCCAUGGCCUGAUAGAGGUAACUCCGAAGGGUGAAAGGACUGGAACCGGGCUGGCCCCUGCAGAUGGAAGGGUGGAAGAAAUCUGGGAUGUCUCCAUUUCCCCCCCCAGAGUGUCUCUCCCGAGAGGGAGAGAGAAAGCCGCAAGGAAGGAGGAGCGGGGGGAGCUGCUGCAAGGUGCCCAGUUGUGUGGGAGUUGCUGGAUGUCCGGCAUCGAGCCAUCCUGGGAGUUCGGACUUUUAACCCUUCCUUGAGAAAUGAAAGCUUUGUGAAUUUUCCUUUCCCCUCCUCGGUUUGAAAGAGAAGAAGAGGGACACCUUGGACCCUGGGAUGGGAUGUUGGAAGGAGGAAUUCUGGAUGGGAGGGGGACAAGGAGUGGCUUUUGGCUGGACUUUUCCAUGUUAGCCACAACCUGAACCAAAUCUUCUCCUUCAAGAGGGACUGUUUUGGGAGGAUGCCAGUGAGUCAAGAGACCUGCUUCAGCUGGGAAAAAGACAAAAGUGGAGUGAACAGAGAAAAGGGCAUCCUUGAAAGGAAAAAUCCUAAAGGCAGUCUGACCAUCCAUGCAUUGGUGGUGAGAGCACUGUGCAUGGAAAGGAGAAAGGUCACCAUGGCAAACUUUUUUCUCCGGGCGGUGCCAUGUGUGACAUGGAAACAAAGGAUGUGGAGCUGUGUUUCUUGGGGGGUCUGUGGCACAGGAGAGACUCUGUUCCCUCGAUGGACUGAGUAUCGGUUGUUUGAAGGGUGGAAACCUGAUUGGGGUCCAGAUUGUGUCUCACUGUGGUUUGUUGGAGUUGGGUGGUGGGGGGGGGAGGAAUGUUUUGCAAGGUUUUCAUUUGGAUCUGUGUGGUUUUUUUUUCCCUUCUUUAGUUUUCUCUUUUCUUUUGUAGUGGUAGUUUAAUAAAGUUUUUUUCCUGUUAUCAAGCUUGGGCCUGCUUUGCUCUAUUCUAGAUUCCACUUCACAGCAUUCCAGGUAGGGAUCACAUUUUCAUGGGGGCACUGGCAUUGUGCCAGUGUCAAACCAUGACAUGGGGACAUCCAG
rnacentral:lncRNA from 1 species